UGAUAGCGAUGAAGCGUGAGGUUACCCUUUGCACCGAUCCUUAGGGGAUCGGCGCUAAGCGAGAGGCCCAUUGCCGUCAGGCAAUUUUGGAUGGCCGAGCUUCCUUACUGCAGACAGGAAAGGGAUAGUUCCGUGGAGCGAAUGUCAAGUUAGGAAACUGGCGACAA
rnacentral:ncRNA from 1 species